rnacentral:rRNA from 1 species
AGUGAACGCUGGCGGCAUGCCUAACACAUGCAAGUCGAACGGCAGCGCACUAAUAGCUGGCUCGUAUGGGUGGGAAGGGGCGAAUGAGACGUGAAUAACUUGGCCUUUACUCUUGCGUGGGGCAGGGCGACUGGGAACAUUCGCGAAUACGGCAUCCUACCGACUGGUGGGAGCUGGAGAGCUUCAGCGGUUUUGCGUUGGAUCGCGCCCAUGCCGCAUUUGCUAGUUGGCGGGGCAAAGGCCCACCAAGGCGACGAGCCGUAGCUGGUCUGAGAGGAUGAUCGGCCACACUAGAACUGAGACACGGACCAGACUCCUACGGGAGGCAGCAGUGGGGAAUAUUAGACAAUGGGCGCAAGCCUGAUCCAGCCAUACCGCGUGGGUGAAGAAGGCGUUCGGGUUGUAAAGCCCUUUUGUUGGGAAAGAACAGCAGCAGGUUAAUAACCCGCUGUUGUGACGGUACCCAAAGAAUAAGCACCGGCUAACUUCGUG